ACGAAGGAUGUACAUUUUUAAAAAAAAACACGUUGCCAAUUCAAAUCACAAAUGAAAAAAAAGACAAAAACUGGAUCGUUUAUUAUGACAUACUGAUCGCUCCGAUUCUUUUCUUUUCUUUUCUAAUGGGCGAUCAGCUGAUCACUCUCAGCAGAGAAAAUGCUCAGCUCAAGAAGAAGCGCCGCCGCCGUGGCGCCGGGGCGGGACCACUGCCCCCGCAGGACGGCAUGCCCUCGCGCGAACGAGAACGCGCCAGUGCCGCCCACCACUCGCAGCACCUCCUCCUCCUCCCCGCCGUGCCGGCGUCUCGCGGCCCGGCGCGCCUUCUCGUUGCUCGCCUCGACGCAGAGACUGCCGGACAGCCCGGCGCUGCCGUCGAACGUCAGGUGCACCGUGUCGAACACCGACGCCACGGCACUACCCCGCUCGCCCGCCGGGAGCAGAAACCCAGAGGCCGCGCCGACGGCCCUCGACGCGCUCUCCGGCCCCGCCGUCAUCCGGUGGUGGAACACCAGCGCGCUCGCUUCUUGCCGGCGCCCUUGGGCUUGCUCCUGCCGCACGGCUGUCGAUGCCGUGGGAUGGAUGUACACCGUGAAGGUGCGCUGGCCUGCAGCGCCCUUGCGGCUGCCCGACCGGUGCGGCAGCGGGGAGACGGUGGCAAGGAGGACGACGGCGAGGACGGCGGCGGCGACGACGACGCAGAAGAUGAUCCUGGCGAGCAUCGUCGUAUCAUUUCUUAUCUGUGGUGGCCAAAUGCGGGAGCGGGCAGCUGCCCGGUGAGCAUUUCAGGAAUCGCAGGUGCGACGGAGCGGUGAUCGGUUGUGAUUUCUUGGAUUUUGUUCAGACGACGAUGGGUUCGGAGAAAGAUGCUCGGAGAGCAGUUGAAUCAGCGCUACUUAAUCCAUUGCGGUGCCUUGUGGUCAAACAUAAACUAAACCAUUGACGAAAAGGGUAAUGCGAAUAAACAAAGCAGAUGAUUUGGGUUUAGUGUGGUUGGAACGUAAGCCAUGGGCGCCUAAAUGGUUCCACUUUGCUAGUUUCUGUUUUCCAC
rnacentral:misc_RNA from 1 species